GAUCCCGUAGCUCAGCAGGGAGAGCGCCACCUUGACAGGGUGGAGAUCUUGAGUUCGAGCCUCUCCGGGGUCA
rnacentral:tRNA from 1 species